ACCGGUGAUUAUAGCGAAGAGGGUACACCCGUUCCCAUCCCGAACACGGUCGUUAAGCUCUUCAGCUCUGACGAUACUGUAGGGGCAGCCCUAUGGGAAAAUAGGACAUCGCCGUUU
rfam:Ktedonobacter sp. 13_1_40CM_4_52_4 13_1_40cm_4_scaffold_10314, whole genome shotgun sequence.